rnacentral:rRNA from 1 species
CCUACGGUGUGCAGCAGUGAGGAAUAUUGGUCAAUGGGCGUAAGCCUGAACCAGCCAAGUCGCGUGAGGGAUGAAGGUUCUAUGGAUCGUAAACCUCUUUUGCCGGGGAGCAACGGGCGCCACGUGUGGCGCCACUGAGAGUACCCGGAGAAAAAGCAUCGGCUAACUCCGUGCCAGCAGCCGCGGUAAUACGGAGGAUGCGAGCGUUAUCCGGAUUUAUUGGGUUUAAAGGGUGCGUAGGCGGAUCGUUAAGUCAGUGGUCAAAUUGAGGGGCUCAACCCCUUCCCGCCAUUGAAACUGGCGCUCUUGAGUGGAAGAGAGGUAUGCGGAAUGCGUGGUGUAGCGGUGAAAUGCAUAGAUAUCACGCAGAACCCCGAUUGCGAAGGCAGCAUGCCGGCUUCCGACUGACGCUGAAGCGCGAAAGCGUGGGGAUCGAACAGGAUUAGAUACCCCGGUAGUC